rnacentral:tRNA from 1 species
AGGGUGCUAGCUCAAUGGAAGAGCACCUGCCUUACAAGAAGGGGGUUGGUGGUUCGAUUCCUCCGUGCCCUA